UUGCUAUUUCUUUGCUAUGGAGCUGAUGUUGACAUUCUUGCAUCAGACUAUUGUACAGCAAUUUCCUCUCUCGUAGGUUUUUAUGGGUCAUUUGGCAGUACUUGUUUUCUAACUGAAUGGAGCUGCAGACAGGAAAAGCUGCAGCACUGAUUUUAGUUUCUUCUGGAGAUGGACAGAUGCUCCUCACUUAGCGCCUCCAAGUGUGAAAGUAACAGAAAGAAAAAAAUCCUAUUUUAAUAAUCUUCAGACUUAUGCUCACACUGACCGAAUGCAGUUUUACCUGAGGCUAUAAAGUACCUUCCCAUCUGGCUGGACUCGCAGCAUGACGUUGUCUGUGGUGGUGUCGUGGAUGAAGGAGCGCUUGGAGUGCACAAAGAACAUGUCAGGGACCCAGAUCUUCUUCACCAGCCGGCCGUCAAACGUCAUGCUUUGGUUGUUGGUGCUGGGGAAGGACAGCCUCUCGUCUUUCCAGUAGUGUCUCAGGUAAAGUGUCAUGGUGAAGUCCUGCAACAAACAGCCUGUGCAGAGUGCCAGCAUCAGUCCUCCAUGCCCCUGAAAUACUACUUUAGCAUCAGCAUGAAGAUUCAGGACAGGCUGACAAAGCCUUAUACUGGUCCCCAGCACACAGCAGGGGUGACACAGCUGCUAAUGAGCCAAAGGCAGAUUCUGGAGAAACUUCUGCCCUCUGAAAACUCCUGCCUUCUUAUGACCACACACUUCCCAGUGAGGUGGGUAACUCGUUGAAAGGGGUAACCUUUCCUUUGAUGUGAGGGGAC